CAUCUAAUUCUGUAAGACUAGGCAUAUUCACAAGUUCGUUUGGUAUUGUGCCAGAUAGAAAAUUGUUAGAGAGAAUCAACUUUUGAACAGAUGUAAGCAAUGAAAAGCUAGGAGAAAUAGAGCCCGCAAGACCCAUAUUCUUGAAGUUAAUUAUAGUUAUGUUUUCAGGGUUGCCAGUACAUGUAACACCUUUGAAAUUCUCACAAGGAUUGUUCCCUUCCCAGCCUUGG
rnacentral:misc_RNA from 1 species